GAUAAACGCUGGCGGCGUGCUUAACACAUGCAAGUCGAACGAAGUUUUUCUUUCGGGAGGAACUUAGUGGCGGACGGGUGAGUAACGCGUGGGUAACCUGCCCUGUACAGGGGGACAACAGCUGGAAACGGCUGCUAAUACCGCAUAAGCCCUUAGCACUGCAUGGUGCAUAGGGAAAAGGAGCAAUCCGGUACAGGAUGGACCCGCGUCUGAUUAGCCAGUUGGCAGGGUAACGGCCUACCAAAGCGACGAUCAGUAGCCGAUCUGAGAGGAUGUACGGCCACAUUGGGACUGAGACACGGCCCAGACUCCUACGGGAGGCAGCAGGGGGGAAUAUUGCACAAUGGAGGAAACUCUGAUGCAGCGACGCCGCGUGAGUGAAGAAGUAUUUCGGUAUGUAAAGCUCUAUCAGCAGGAAAGAAAAUGACGGUACCUGACUAAGAAGCCCCGGCUAAAUACGU
rnacentral:rRNA from 1 species